CCUACGGGAGGCAGCAGUGGGGAAUAUUGGGCAAUGGAGGAAACUCCGACCCAGCGACGCCGCGUGCGGGAUGAAGGCCUUCGGGUUGUAAACCGCUUUCAGCAGGGAAGAAGCGAAAGUGACGGUACCUGCAGAAGAAGCACCGGCUAACUAUGUGCCAGCAGCCGCGGUAAUACAUAGGGUGCAAGCGUUGUCCGGAAUUAUUGGGCGUAAAGAGCUCGUAGGUGGUUCGUCACGUCGGAUGUGAAACUCUGGGGCUUAACCCCAGACCUGCAUUCGAUACGGGCGAGCUUGAGUAUGGUAGGGGAGUCUGGAAUUCCUGGUGUAGCGGUGGAAUGCGCAGAUAUCAGGAGGAACACCAAUGGCGAAGGCAGGACUCUGGGCCAUUACUGACACUGAGGAGCGAAAGCGUGGGGAGCGAACAGGAUUAGAUACCCUGGUAGUCCACGCCGUAAACGGUGGGCACUAGUUGUGGGGACCUUCCACGGUCUCUGCGACGCAGCUAACGCAUUAAGUGCCCCGCCUGGGGAGUACGAUCGCAAGAUUAAAACUCAAAGGAAUUGACGG
rnacentral:rRNA from 1 species